ACCUUCGGGGAACGAUAACGGCGUCGAGCGGCGGACGGGUGAGUAAUGCCUAGGAAAUUGCCCUGAUGUGGGGGAUAACCAUUGGAAACGAUGGCUAAUACCGCAUGAUGCCUACGGGCCAAAGAGGGGGACCUUCGGGCCUCUCGCGUCAGGAUAUGCCUAGGUGGGAUUAGCUAGUUGGUGAGGUAAGGGCUCACCAAGGCGACGAUCCCUAGCUGGUCUGAGAGGAUGAUCAGCCACACUGGAACUGAGACACGGUCCAGACUCCUACGGGAGGCAGCAGUGGGGAAUAUUGCACAAUGGGCGCAAGCCUGAUGCAGCCAUGCCGCGUGUGUGAAGAAGGCCUUCGGGUUGUAAAGUACUUUCAGUCGUGAGGAAGGCGGCGUCGUUAAUAGCGGCGUUGUUUGACGUUAGCGACAGAAGAAGCACCGGCUAACUCCGUGCCAGCAGCCGCGGUAAUACGGAGGGUGCGAGCGUUAAUCGGAAUUACUGGGCGUAAAGCGCAUGCAGGUGGUUUGUUAAGUCAGAUGUGAAAGCCCGGGGCUCAACCUCGGAAUAGCAUUUGAAACUGGCAGACUAGAGUACUGUAGAGGGGGGUA
rnacentral:rRNA from 1 species